UACGUAGGGGGCUAGCGUUGUCCGGAAUCAUUGGGCGUAAAGAGCGUGUAGGCGGCCCGGUAAGUCCGCUGUAAAAGUCAAAGGCUCAACCUUUGAAUGUCAGUGGAUACUGCCGGGCUAGAGUCCGGAAGAGGCGAGUGGAACUCCUGGUGUAGCGGUGGAAUGCGCAGAUAUCGGGAAGAACACCCGUGGCGAAGGCGGCUCUCUGGGACGGUACUGACGCUGAGACGCGAAAGCGUGGGGGAGCGAACAGG
rnacentral:rRNA from 1 species